GAUGAACGCUGGCGGCGUGCCUAAUACAUGCAAGUCGAGCGAACGGACGAGAAGCUUGCUUCUCUGAUGUUAGCGGCGGACGGGUGAGUAACACGUGGAUAACCUACCUAUAAGACUGGGAUAACUUCGGGAAACCGGAGCUAAUACCGGAUAAUAUUUUGAACCGCAUGGUUCGACAGUGAAAGACGGUCUUGCUGUCACUUAUAGAUGGAUCCGCGCUGCAUUAGCUAGUUGGUAAGGUAACGGCUUACCAAGGCAACGAUGCAUAGCCGACCUGAGAGGGUGAUCGGCCACACUGGAACUGAGACACGGUCCAGACUCCUACGGGAGGCAGCAGUAGGGAAUCUUCCGCAAUGGGCGAAAGCCUGACGGAGCAACGCCGCGUGAGUGAUGAAGGUCUUCGGAUCGUAAAACUCUGUUAUUAGGGAAGAACAUAUGUGUAAGUAACUGUGCACAUCUUGACGGUACCUAAUCAGAAAGCCACGGCUAACUACGUG
rnacentral:rRNA from 1 species